GAUGAACGCUAGCGCUAGGCUUAACACAUGCAAGUCGAGGGGCAGCAUGGUCUUAGCUUGCUAAGACUGAUGGCGACCGGCGCACGGGUGCGUAACGCGUAUGCAACUUGCCUCACAGAGGGGGAUAACCCGUCGAAAGACGGACUAAUACCGCGUACACUCCAUCUUGGGCAUCCAAGGUAGAGGAAAUGAAAUUCGCUGUGAGAUAGGCAUGCGUCCCAUUAGCUAGUUGGUGAGGUAACGGCUCACCAAGGCGACGAUGGGUAGGGGAACUGAGAGGUUGAACCCCCACACUGGUACUGAGACACGGACCAGACUACUACGGGAGGCAGCAGUGAGGAAUAUUGGUCAAUGGGCGAGAGCCUGAACCAGCCAAGUCGCGUGAAGGAUGACUGUCUUAUGGAUUGUAAACUUCUUUUAUACGGGAAUAACAAGAGUCACGUGUGACUCCCUGCAUGUACCGUAUGAAUAAGCAUCGGCUAACUCCGUG
rnacentral:rRNA from 1 species